GAUGAAGAACGCAGCGAAAUGCGAUAAGUAAUGUGAAUUGCAGAAUUCAGUGAAUCAUCGAAUCUUUGAACGCACAUUGCGCCCGCCAGUAUUCUGGCGGGCAUGCCUGUUCGAGCGUCAUUACAACCCUCAGGCCCCCGGGCCUGGCGUUGGGGAUCGGCGGAAGCCCCCUGUGGGCACACGCCGUCCCUCAAAUACAGUGGCGGUCCCGCCGCAGCUUCCAUUGCGUAGUAGCUAACACCUCACAACUUGAGAGCGGCGCGGCCAUGCCGUAAAACACCCAACUUCUGAAUGUUGACCUCGAAUCAGGUAGGAAUACCCGCUGAACUUAAGCAUAUCAAUAAGCGGAGGA
rnacentral:misc_RNA from 1 species